GACGAACGCUGGCGGCGUGCUUAACACAUGCAAGUCGAACGGAAAGGCCCUGCUUUUGUUGGGUGCUCGAGUGCCGAACGGGUGAGUAACACGUGUGUAACAUGCCCUUGACUUUGGGAUAACUUCAGGAAACUGGGGCGAAUACCGGGUAGGAGCUCCUGCAGCAUGGUGGUGGUUAGUAAGUUUCGGCGGUUGGGGAUGGACUCGCGGCUUAUGCGCUUGUUGGUGGGGUAGUGGAUUACAAAGGCUUUGAAGGGUAGCCGGCCUGAGAGGGUGACCGGCCACAUUAGGACUGAGAUACGGACCAGACUCCUACGGGAGGCAGCAGUGGGGAAUCUGGCACAAUGGGCGGAAGCCUGAUGCAGCAACGCCGCGUGCGGGAUGACGGCUUUCGGGUUGUAAACCGCUUUCGCCGGUGACGAAGCGUGAGUGACGGUAAUGGGUAAAGAAGCACCGGCUAACUACGUG
rnacentral:rRNA from 1 species